GUAUGUGUGGUGAUUCGGCAGUGUAUUGUUAGUUUGCUGUUGUACCAAAACCAGCAGCUACCUACACUACCACAUUAUCACAUGGCAU